UUCCGAAGUUGCAUGGUUGAAUUCCACUUUUUAUGCACAUACAGCAUGGACAGCAGCAGGGAAGCUUCUCCACAUUGCCCCACCAACAUGCUUGAACCCUAACUUGGAGAUGAACAGCAGCAAAAAGUAGCAAUUCAGUUGCUCUGCCUAUGGCAUUCUCGACUCCU
rnacentral:sRNA from 1 species